rnacentral:rRNA from 1 species
GGCCUGUUGAUUAUAAUUUUAGGUUUGGCCUGCCCAAUGAGGAGUUUAAUGGCUGCAGUAUUUUGACUGUACAAAGGUAGCAUAAUCAUUUGUUUUUUAAUUGAAAGCUAGAAUGAAGGGUUAGAUGAAAGAAUUUCUGUCUCUAGGAAAAUUAAUUAAAAUUUUAUUUUUAAGUGAAAAAGCUUAAAUAAAAAUAGAAGACGAGAAGACCCUAUAGAGUUUUAUAUUUAUUAGACUAGUUUAAUUUUAGGUAUUGAAGGUUUUUUAUUCUAGUAAGUAUUUUGUUGGGGUGACAAAAAAAUUUAAAGAACUUUUUUUUAUUUGUUCACUAAUUUGUGUAUAGGUGAUCCUAAUUGUUUAGAUUUAAAGAUAAAAUUACCUUAGGGAUAACAGCGUAAUUUUAUCUAGAGUUCUUAUCGAAGAUAAAGAUUGCGACCUCGAUGUUGGAUUAAAAUAAAUUUCUGGUGAAGGUGCUAGUUAAUUGGGUCUGUUCGACCUUUAAAAUUUUACAUGAUCUGAGUUUAAACCGGUGUGAG